GAACGCUGGCGGCGUGCCUAACACAUGCAAGUCGAGCGAUUCUCUUCGGAGAAGAGCGGCGGACGGGUGAGUAACGCGUGGGUAACCUGCCCUGUACACACGGAUAACAUACCGAAAGGUAUGCUAAUACGAGAUAAUAUGCUUUUAUCGCAUGGUAGAAGUAUCAAAGCUUUUGCGGUACAGGAUGGACCCGCGUCUGAUUAGCUAGUUGGUAAGGUAACGGCUUACCAAGGCGACGAUCAGUAGCCGACCUGAGAGGGUGAUCGGCCACAUUGGAACUGAGACACGGUCCAAACUCCUACGGGAGGCAGCAGUGGGGAAUAUUGCACAAUGGGCGAAAGCCUGAUGCAGCAACGCCGCGUGAGCGAUGAAGGCCUUCGGGUCGUAAAGCUCUGUCCUCAAGGAAGAUAAUGACGGUACUUGAGGAGGAAGCCCCGGCUAACUACGUGCCAGCAGCCGCGGUAAUACGUAGGGGGCUAGCGUUAUCCGGAAUUACUGGGCGUAAAGGGUGCGUAGGUGGUUUCUUAAGUCAGAGGUGAAAGGCUACGGCUCAACCGUAGUAAGCCUUUGAAACUGGGAAACUUGAGUGCAGGAGAGGAGAGUGGAAUUCCUAGUGUAGCGGUGAAAUGCGUAGAUAUUAGGAGGAACACCAGUUGCGAAGGCGGCUCUCUGGACUGUAACUGACACUGAGGCACGAAAGCGUGGGGAGCAAACAGGAUUAGAUACCCUGGUAGUCCACGCCGUAAACGAUGAGUACUAGCUGUCGGAGGUUACCCCCUUCGGUGGCGCAGCUAACGCAUUAAGUACUCCGCCUGGGAAGUGCGCUCGCAAGAGUGAAAACUCAAAGGAAUUGACGGGGACCCGCACAAGUAGCGGAGCAUGUGGUUUAAUUCGAAGCAACGCGAAGAACCUUACCUAAGCUUGACAUCCUUUUGACCGAUGCCUAAUCGCAUCUUUCCCUUUGGGGACAGAAGUGACAGGUGGUGCAUGGUUGUCGUCAGCUCGUGUCGUGAGAUGUUGGGUUAAGUCCCGCAACGAGCGCAACCCUUGCCUUUAGUUGCCAGCAUUAAGUUGGGCACUCUAGAGGGACUGCCAGGGAUAACCUGGAGGAAGGUGGGGAUGACGUCAAAUCAUCAUGCCCCUUAUGCUUAGGGCUACACACGUGCUACAAUGGGUGGUACAGAGGGCAGCCAAGUCGUGAGGCGGAGCUAAUCCCUUAAAGCCAUUCUCAGUUCGGAUUGUAGGCUGAAACUCGCCUACAUGAAGCUGGAGUUACUAGUAAUCGCAGAUCAGAAUGCUGCGGUGAAUGCGUUCCCGGGUCUUGUACACACCGCCCGUCACACCACGGGAGUUGGGGGCGCCCGAAGCCGGAUUGCUAACCUUUUGGAAGCGUCCGUCGAAGGUGAAAUCAAUAACUGGGG
rnacentral:rRNA from 1 species